CCAUCAAAUGGUGCGUUCCCUGAUCUGGAACGGCUCAACGCUAUGCGACGGUAGAACUUAAUACACUCAGCUGACUAUUGAGCAGGAAGCUGCAUUCCGAAACGGAGCAAUCUGUGAAGGACUGCGGUAUGGUAUCUUGUUGCCAUUUUCGGUCAGCUGCCAC
rfam:Hespellia stercorisuis DSM 15480 genome assembly, contig: EJ65DRAFT_scaffold00009.9